rnacentral:rRNA from 1 species
CUCCUACGGGAGGCAGCAUGGGGAAUAUUGCACAAUGGGCGCAAGCCUGAUGUAGCGACGCCGCGUGGGGAUGACGGCCUUCGGGUUGUAAACCUCUUUCAAUAGGACGAAGCGCAAGUGACGGUACCUAUAGAAGAAGCACCGGCCAACUACGUGCCAGCCGCCGCGGUAAUAC